GACGUAGGAGGCGAGCGUUGUCCGGAUUCAUUGGGCGUAAAGAGCACGCAGGCGGUUUGGCAAGUCGGACGUGAAAAUCCGGGGCUCAACCCCGGACCUGCAUCCGAAACUGCCCGACUAGAGGUAGGUAGGGGAGAUCGGAAUUCCUGGUGUAGCGGUGAAAUGCGCAGAUAUCAGGAGGAACACCGGUGGCGAAGGCGGCGACCUGGGUCGAGACUGACGCUGAGGCGCGAAAGCGUGGGGAGCAAACAGG
rnacentral:rRNA from 1 species